ensembl:lncRNA
CCUAAUUAAGACAGUGGAAAAUUUUACUUUCUAUUCAUUAUUGCAAGUAGAGGGCAUUAAAAUAGCUGGUUGUUUAGAACCUUCUAUGUGAAGAGUUUUGGCCCUGAGUAGUCUGCCAAAUAAGAAGCAAAAGCAAGAGAGCAAUUAAUGGCAGAUUCUGCAAAUUGAAUGACUUCCAUCUUUGGCACAGAGACGCUGCAUAAGGGAACUCUAGCACUGUGUGUGUAGUGCUUUGAAGUCUGAUGUCCAUUACCAUUUUUACCAGUAACAUUCAUCCAGUUGUGCAGGGAGCUAAAAGGAAAGGACAACUGAAAGGACUGGAGCCAAACAUCUUCAAAGGUAACUGUUUGGGAGUAGGAGUGGUAUUCCGCACAUGAUACUUCUGUUUUCUAGAAAAUGGAUUCUGAAGCAGGGGAUGCUAUCAACACAUCUUAUAGAUUGAAGAAAACUUUCAGAUUUUUUUGUUUUGUUAAGAAGUGUCAAAAGUUGUUACUCAAGCCUUUGUGUGUUGGUUGAAGUCCUUGAAAAACCUCCCAGUGGUUCCUGAUGACAAUUUUUCACCAAGAGACAGUGGCUUCAAAUCCUGCUAAAAUGAAAAACAAAAAGAAACUUUAUAGUCCUACGGGUUUUUUGGUGGCAGCAUUUCUGCACCACUGAACUGACAGCUGAAAUCCUACCCCCUUCCCCCAGUGCCUGACGUCUGCCUUGGCAGCCAGAGGGAGGGCGAAGGGAGCAGUACAGAUGGGGAAAACCAAAACAUUUUGCAGUGUGACUACCCCAGCCAACGCUGUGUGUCGUGUCAACAAUCUGCAAGACCUGGCAGAUCUCUGUGGAGGUGGCUUUACUUCUUGUGACACGUCCAAGGAACCUGCACUGUGCUGGUCUGACGCCAAGC